rnacentral:rRNA from 1 species
ACUCCUACGGGAGGCAGCAGUGGGGAAUUUUGGACAAUGGGCGCAAGCCUGAUCCACCAAUGCCGCGUGAGUGAAGAAGGCCUUCGGGUUGUAAAGCUCUUUCAGUCGAGAAGAAAAGACUGCAGUGAAUAACUGCAGUUCAUGACGGUAUCGACAGAAGAAGCACCGGCUAACUACGUGCCAGCAGCCGCGGUAAU